GCUUUAGGCUCACUCUACAGCAGCCAUCGAUAAAUAAUGCGUGUUUGACCUCAUUGCAAUUCUCAUAUUCUCGAACGCGACUCAUUUGUUCAUCUUCAGUUGCGUCAGCUUCAGGCGUCAUUCAUCAACACGAAAUCAGCAACAGAUCAACUGACGUGUGUGAGAAUCGAAAAAUCGUGUGUUGUUUAACCUAUUGCCACCUCCUUGCAUGAUUGCAAUGGUGUUCUGGCUUGUUGAACUUGUUUACAGUAAUUGAGGAAAUCACUUUUCGUGCUUUCUGGGAAACUUUCGGUAUUUAACUAAUCGGGAUUGUAACGACAUAUUAUUAUUAUUAUUGUAUGACUCGCCAACUAAAUUCGCAUUGAAACUAUUUUUCUCAGAGACAGCACUAAAGAGAUUUUUAUUCAAUGUAAAAAAGUAAUCUAAAUUGACUGAAAAGGUUUAAAUAAUGUAAACAUCCAGGUUGAGAUUCAAUUCCAAUGACUUCAAAACAUUUAAGGAAUCGGUGGAUUUGUCAGAAUGAAAUGUCUACAGUUAUGGGGUAAGGAAUUGUUUCCUCCUUAUAAACAUAUUAUAAUACUUGUAAGAUCAAACGAAAAUUACUUAACUUUAACUGUAUUCGAAGUAUUUAUGCGUUGUAAAGCAACGUUCAUCCUAUUAAUUUUAAAUCAAAGACCGCGCCGUUCAUGUUUGAUACAUUCGAGAGGAAGCCACGGUAAUAAAGAUGCCUUACUGAGGCCAGAUCUAUGCAGUUUAUGCAAAUAUGGCUUAUAGAGAGAACGUGAACUAUGUCAGAAUUUACACAGAUCUGAGCGAAAUAUUACUCAAUGCUCCAAUCCAUCCAGUUUCGUUACGAUGACGAUACUAAAAUAAUAUAAACUCUUAAACUAGUUUAGAAAUUCACGUUUAAGAUUUUGAAAUGUACUAACUGGUGUAAAUUAUAUUUUACUAUAUUUAAGCUGUAUAAUAUAUAAUCGAUGAGAUUGCAAUGUUAUCUGUUAAUAAAGUAUAUACAUAAAUAUAUAACUAAAUAAAUAUUUAGACAAAAACCGAG